rnacentral:tRNA from 1 species
GGACGUGUGACUGAGUGGUUGAAAGUUCCUGGCUUGAGUCUAGGCGUCUUGUAAUAGAGACCAGAAGUUCGAAUCUUCUCACGUCCGUCA